rnacentral:rRNA from 1 species
UACGAAGGGGGCUAGCGUUGUUCGGAAUCACUGGGCGUAAAGCGCACGUAGGCGGAUCUUUAAGUCAGGGGUGAAAUCCCGAGGCUCAACCUCGGAACUGCCUUUGAUACUGGGGAUCUCGAGUCCGGGAGAGGUGAGUGGAACUGCGAGUGUAGAGGUGAAAUUCGUAGAUAUUCGCAAGAACACCAGUGGCGAAGGCGGCUCACUGGUCCGGUACUGACGCUGAUGUGCGAAAGCGUGGGGAGCAAACAGG